UACGAGAGGUGCGAGCGUUAUUCGGAUUUAUUGGGUGUAAAGGGUGCGUAGACGGCGCGUUAAGUUUGUUGUUAAAUCCUCCGGCUCAACCGGAGAUAUGCGGCAAAAACUGGCGUGCUAGAGGAUGGAAGAGAGAAGUGGAAUUCUUGGAGUAGCGGUAAAAUGCGUAGAUCUCAAGAGGAACACCGAUGGCGAAGGCAGCUUCUUGGUCCAUUCCUGACGUUGAGGCACGAAAGCGUGGGGAGCAAACAGG
rnacentral:rRNA from 1 species